rnacentral:rRNA from 1 species
GAUGAACGCUGGCGGCGUGCCUAAUACAUGCAAGUCGAGCGAACAGACGAGGAGCUUGCUCCUCUGACGUUAGCGGCGGACGGGUGAGUAACACGUGGAUAACCUACCUAUACGACUGGGAUAACUUCGGGAAACCGGAGCUAAUACCGGAUAAUAUAUUGAACCGCAUGGUUCAAUAGUGAAAGACGGUUUUGCUGUCACUUAUAGAUGGAUCCGCGCCGCAUUAGCUAGUUGGUAAGGUAACGGCUUACCAAGGCAACGAUGCGUAGCCGACCUGAGAGGGUGAUCGGCCACACGGGAACUGAGACACGGUCCAGACUCCUACGGGAGGCAGCAGUAGGGAAUCUUCCGCAAUGGGCGAAAGCCUGACGGAGCAACGCCGCGUGAGUGAUGAAGGUCUUCGGAUCGUAAAACUCUGUUAUUAGGGAAGAACAAAUGUGUAAGUAACGAUGCACGUCUUGACGGUACCUAAUCAGAAAGCCACGGCUAACUACGUG